rnacentral:rRNA from 1 species
UACGAAGGGGGCUAGCGUUGUUCGGAAUUACUGGGCGUAAAGGGCGCGUAGGCGGUACUUCAAGUCAGGCGUGAAAGCCCCGGGCUCAACCUGGGGGCUGCACUUGAUACGUAUGGACUGGAGUGGGGAAGAGGGUCGUGGAAUUCCCAGUGUAGAGGUGAAAUUCGUAGAUAUUGGGAAGAACACCGGUGGCGAAGGCGGCGACCUGGUCCUUGACUGACGCUGAGGCGCGAAAGCGUGGGGAGCAAACAGG